CCAGACUCCUACGGGAGGCAGCAGUAAGGGAUAUUGGUCAAUGGGGGAAACCCUGAACCAGCAACGCCGCGUGAGGGAAGACGGUUUUCGGAUUGUAAACCUCUGUCCUCUGUGAAGAUGAUGACGGUAGCAGAGGAGGAAGCUCCGGCUAACUACGUGCCAGCAGCCGCGGUCAUACGUAGGAUCCGAGCAUUAUCCGGAGUGACUGGGUGUAAAGAGUUGCGUAGGUGGCAUAAUAAGUAGCUAGUGAAAUCUGGUGGCUCAACCAUUCAGACUAUUAGCUAAACUGUUAAGCUCGAGACCGUUAGGGGUAACUGGAAUUUCUAGUGUAGGAGUGAAAUCCGUAGAUAUUAGAAGGAACACCAAUAGCGUAGGCAGGUUACUGGGACGGUUCUGACACUAAGGCACGAAAGCGUAGGGAGCAAACGGGAUUAGAUACCCCCGUACG
rnacentral:rRNA from 1 species